rnacentral:lncRNA from 1 species
GAUGUAAUUUCUCUUUUACAGAGCCACCUAAGCUGAAGAUUCCCUUGAGAACAAGUACAGUCCCUAGUUUCCCAGUGCUGGAAUAUAGAAAAUGGAUGGACAAGUAAAUCCCACUCAGCACCCAUAGUCCAGGCAUGGGGACCUCAACACACCUGAGCCCCAGACAUCACCUUUCAUUCUGGAUCUACCAUGAAAGACUUCUGAAUCCAGGAAGAGAGACUGACUGGGCAACAUGUUAUU